rnacentral:rRNA from 1 species
UUGUUGGUGGGGUAAUGGCCCACCAAGGCGACGACGGGUAGCCGGCCUGAGAGGGUGACCGGCCACACUGGGACUGAGAUACGGCCCAGACUCCUACGGGAGGCAGCAGUGGGGAAUAUUGCACAAUGGGCGCAAGCCUGAUGCAGCGACGCCGCGUGAGGGAUGACGGCCUUCGGGUUGUAAACCUCUUUCAGUAGGGACGAAGCGAAAGUGACGGUACCUACAGAAGAAGGACCGGCCAACUACGUGCCAGCAGCCGCGGUAAUACGUAGGGUCCGAGCGUUGUCCGGAAUUACUGGGCGUAAAGAGCUCGUAGGUGGUUUGUCGCGUUGUUCGUGAAAACUCACAGCUUAACUGUGGGCGUGCGGGCGAUACGGGCAGACUAGAGUACUGCAGGGGAGACUGGAAUUCCUGGUGUAGCGGUGGAAUGCGCAGAUAUCAGGAGGAACACCGGUGGCGAAGGCGGGUCUCUGGGCAGUAACUGACGCUGAGGAGCGAAAGCGUGGGUAGCGAACAGGAUUAGAUACCCUGGUAGUCCACGCCGUAA